AACUAAACCCGAACGCAAUGGAAAUACUUUUGUUGCCCUUAUGUUGAUUGUUGAAUAUGACCAUCGCAAAAGAUUGUAAUGGAGUGCGGGACUAACA
rnacentral:sRNA from 1 species